UAUGAGAGUGAUGAGUUGCACUUAAUCGAUUGGAGUGUGUUGCAGUGGCAUUAACACUUCAAUCUGAUUCAACCUGAUGACGCACGCUGUGCACAGGGGCCAUCUGACUCAAA